AGCGAACGCUGGCGGCAGGCCUAACACAUGCAAGUCGAACGGAUCCUUCGGGAUUAGUGGCGGAUGGGUGAGUAAUACGUGGGAACGUGCCCUUUGGUUCGGAACAACUCAGGGAAACUUGAGCUAAUACCGGAUGUGCCCUUCGGGGGAAAGAUUUAUCGCCAUUGGAGCGGCCCGCGUCUGAUUAGCUAGUUGGUGGGGUAAAGGCCCACCAAGGCGACGAUCAGUAGCUGGUCUGAGAGGAUGAUCAGCCACAUUGGGACUGAGACACGGCCCAAACUCCUACGGGAGGCAGCAGUGGGGAAUCUUGCGCAAUGGGCGAAAGCCUGACGCAGCCAUGCCGCGUGAAUGAUGAAGGUCUUAGGAUUGUAAAAUUCUUUCGCCGGGGACGAUAAUGACGGUACCCGGAGAAGAAGCCCCGGCUAACUUCGUGCCAGCCGCCGCCGUAAAAC
rnacentral:rRNA from 1 species